rnacentral:pre_miRNA from 1 species
ACUACAUUCGGACCGUCGGUCUACCGAGCAAUAUCACCCGCUCGGUGGAAGAUCUUCCCUUUGUCGU